rnacentral:rRNA from 1 species
ACUCCUACGGGAGGCAGCAGUGGGGAAUAUUGCACAAUGGGCGCAAGCCUGAUGCAGCCAUGCCGCGUGUGUGAAGAAGGCCUUCGGGUUGUAAAGCACUUUCAGUCGUGAGGAAGGUGGUAGUGUUAAUAGCACUAUCAUUUGACGUUAGCGACAGAAGAAGCACCGGCUAACUCCGUGCCAGCAGCCGCGGUAAUACGGAGGUGCGAGCGUUAAUCGGAAUUACUGGGCGUAAAGCGCAUGCAGGUGGUUUGUUAAGUCAGAUGUGAAAGCCCGGGGCUCAACCUCGGAAUAGCAUUUGAAACUGGCAGACUAGAGUACUGUAGAGGGGGUAGAAUUUCAGGUGUAGCGGUGAAAUGCGUAGAGAUCUGAAGGAUACCGGUGCGAAGGCGGCCCCUGGACAGAUACUGACACUCAGAUGCGAAAGCGUGGGAGCAAACAGGAUUAGAUACCCCGUGGUAGACUGUCA